rnacentral:rRNA from 3 species
AGUCGAGGGGCAGCAUGGUCUUAGCUUGCUAAGGCCGAUGGCGACCGGCGCACGGGUGAGUAACACGUAUCCAACCUGCCGUCUACUCUUGGACAGCCUUCUGAAAGGAAGAUUAAUACAAGAUGGCAUCAUGAGUCCGCAUGUUCACAUGAUUAAAGGUAUUCCGGUAGACGAUGGGGAUGCGUUCCAUUAGAUAGUAGGCGGGGUAACGGCCCACCUAGUCUUCGAUGGAUAGGGGUUCUGAGAGGAAGGUCCCCCACAUUGGAACUGAGACACGGUCCAAACUCCUACGGGAGGCAGCAGUGAGGAAUAUUGGUCAAUGGGCGAGAGCCUGAACCAGCCAAGUAGCGUGAAGGAUGACUGCCCUAUGGGUUGUAAACUUCUUUUAUAAAGGAAUAAAGUCGGGUAUGNAUACCCGUUUGCAUGUNCUUUAUGAAUAAGGAUCGGCUAACUCCGUGCCAGCAGCCGCGGUAAUACGGAGGAUCCGAGCGUUAUCCGGAUUUAUUGGGUUUAAAGGGAGCGUAGAUGGAUGUUUAAGUCAGUUGUGAAAGUUUGCGGCUCAACCGUAAAAUUGCAGUUGAUACUGGAUAUCUUGAGUGCAGUUGAGGCAGGCGGAAUUCGUGGUGUAGCGGUGAAAUGCUUAGAUAUCACGAAGAACUCCGAUUGCGAAGGCAGCCUGCUAAGCUGCAACUGACAUUGAGGCUCGAAAGUGUGGGUAUCAAACAGGAUUAGAUACCCUGGUAGUCCACACGGUAAACGAUGAAUACUCGCUGUUUGCGAUAUACGGCAAGCGGCCAAGCGAAAGCGUUAAGUAUUCCACCUGGGGAGUACGCCGGCAACGGUGAAACUCAAAGGAAUUGACGGGGGCCCGCACAAGCGGAGGAACAUGUGGUUUAAUUCGAUGAUACGCGAGGAACCUUACCCGGGCUUAAAUUGCAGAUGAAUUACGGUGAAAGCCGUAAGCCGCAAGGCAUCUGUGAAGGUGCUGCAUGGUUGUCGUCAGCUCGUGCCGUGAGGUGUCGGCUUAAGUGCCAUAACGAGCGCAACCCUUGUUGUCAGUUACUAACAGGUUCCGCUGAGGACUCUGACAAGACUGCCAUCGUAAGAUGUGAGGAAGGUGGGGAUGACGUCAAAUCAGCACGGCCCUUACGUCCGGGGCUACACACGUGUUACAAUGGGGGGUACAGAGGGCCGCUACCACGCGAGUGGAUGCCAAUCCCAAAAACCUCUCUCAGUUCGGACUGGAGUCUGCAACCCGACUCCACGAAGCUGGAUUCGCUAGUAAUCGCGCAUCAGCCACGGCGCGGUGAAUACGUUCCCGGGCCUUGUACACACCGCCCGUCAAGCCAUGGGAGCCGGGGGUACCUGAAGUGCGUAACCGCGAGGAG